rnacentral:tRNA from 30 species
GCCGACUUAGCUCAGAGGUAGAGUGCUUCCUUGGUAAGGAAGAGGUCACGGGUUCAAUUCCCGUAGUUGGCUCAA